CAGGCGGUGAAGCAUCUGCCCACAAUGCAGGAGACCUGGGUUCGAUCCCUGGGUUGGGAAGAUCCCUUGGAGAAGGAAAUGACAACCCACUCCAGUACUCUUGCCUGGAAAAUCCCAUGGACGGAGGAGCCUGAUCUCAUCAGAAAAUUGAAGACUCAGAAGAGAGCAGUGAUGAAAUUCUUGCUUGUCUAAUUUCUGCGGUUUCUCCAAGAACGGAUUCAGGCCAUCUCUCGAGAUCAGGUCAAGACCAUUCUUCUUCUCGAGAGCCUCACCCCAAGCUCAGAAAAAGAAGACCCUGGGCCCUAGGGUGAUCCUCCAUUCCAGACCCAAAACCAUCGCCCCUAUCCAGAAAGAAGUAGCCAGAGAGAUACAGUGCUCUUUUCCCCAUUCUUUAAUGAUUUCAGGGUCUGGAAUGAAGGAGUCUUUGGGCCUAGAAAAGAAAGCAACAGUCUCAAAGGUCCUUGCUGAAUCAUCUAACUUCUGAGAAAACAAAACUGAACUUUAGGUCCCACCCUGAUGCUCCAGGCCAGUUUUAUCUAUCUGGAACUUAUCACUCCCUGUCCAGAAAACUUUCCACCCCCUACACCUGCCCAGAAGACUUAUCACCCCCUGCCCAACUACAAUGCCAUCUCAACUAAAGAAUACCCAAAAUAUCCCGCCUGAUUAACGUUUCCCUUAUUGUUUCCAAAAACCUCCUUAUAAAUAUGGAGCCUCGCUGAUCCCUCUUGGAGCUCAGCCUAGUCGUUAGGCCGACUGUCGCCCCUCCUUGCCUGAAUAAAGGUAGCCAGGGGACUGGCCACUCCGGAGGCAUGCUCCUGUGAGGUCUGAGAGCACCCCUCAAGGGGAGAACUGCAUCGAACUCAUGGUUGAGAUGACUGAGCUGAGCAAGACCGAGGAAGACCUUCAGGACCCAGGCGAGGCCCUGGGCCCGGUAGAGGCACAGCUAUUGGGGGCUGAGGCAGGAGAGGCUGCAUCCCCCUCAGCCUUGUCCCCUCAGUCUCCUGCUCCACCCUUGUGGAGGCCUUGCCCCAGGAAGCUCUUAAUGCGAUGGUGGCAGGAACCUGAUGAAGUUCCGGCUCCUCAAGUAUCGAGCCAAGGAGCUGACCUCCCAGGCGGAAAUGCUGAAGAAGGUCCUCAGGGAUAACCAGGAGCAUUUCCCGGUGGUCUUCAGCCAAGCCUCAAAGUGCCUGCAGCUGGUCUGUGGCAUGAAGGUGAAGGAGGUGGACCCCACAGAGCACAUCUACAUCAUGGUCCCCACCCUGGGCCUCACCUGCAAUGCGAUGCAGAGAGGUGGGCAGGGCCUGCCCAAGGCCAGCCUCCUGGUGCUGGUCCUCAGCCUGAUCAUGUGGUAUGGAGACCAUGCACCUGAGGGGGAGGUCUGGGAGCACUCAGAAAAUGGGGAUGUUUGUCAGGAGGGAGCACUGUGUCUUUGGGGAGC